rnacentral:rRNA from 1 species
GCCUGGGGAGUACGGUCGCAAGACUGAAACUCAAAGGAAUUGACGGGGACCCGCACAAGCAGUGGAGUAUGUGGUUUAAUUCGAAGCAACGCGAAGAACCUUACCAGGUCUUGACAUCCCUCUGACCGGUACAGAGAUGUACCUUUCCUUCGGGACAGAGGAGACAGGUGGUGCAUGGUUGUCGUCAGCUCGUGUCGUGAGAUGUUGGGUUAAGUCCCGCAACGAGCGCAACCCUUGAUCUUAGUUGCCAGCACUUCGGGUGGGCACUCUAAGGUGACUGCCG